AUUGAACGCUGGCGGCAGGCCUAACACAUGCAAGUCGAGCGGAUGAAGGGAGCUUGCUCCUGGCUUCAGUGGCCGACGGGUGGGUAAUGCAUAGGAAUCUGACUGGUCGAUGGGGCUAACGUCCGGACACGGGCGCUAAUACCGCAUACGUCCAGAGGGAGAACGUCGGGGUUCUUUGGACCUCACGCUUUUAGAUGACCCUAGGUCGGAUUAGCUAGUUGGUUGGGUAAAGGCCUACCAAGGCGACGAUCCGUAACUGGUCUGAGAGGAUGAUCAGUCACACUGGAACUGAGACACGGUCCAGACUCCUACGGGAGGCAGCAGUGGGGAAUAUUGGACAAUGGGCGAAAGCCUGAUCCAGCCAUGCCGCGUGUGUGAAGAAGGUCUUCGGAUUGUAAAGCACUUUAAGUUGGGAGGAAGGGCAGUAAGUUAAUACCUUGCUGUUUUGACGUUACCAACAGAAUAAGCACCGGCUAACUUCGUG
rnacentral:rRNA from 1 species